CCUCUUCCCAUUCCGAACAGAGCAGUCAAGCCCGCCAGAGCCGAUGGUAUUGCCGUAACAGGUGGGAGAGUAGGUCGGUGCCUUUU
rnacentral:rRNA from 1 species